GAGUUUGACUCUUGGCUCAGAUUGAACGCUGGCGGCAUGCCUUACACAUGCAAGUCGAACGGCAGCACGGGAGCUUGCUCCUGGUGGCGAGUGGCGAACGGGUGAGUAAUGCAUCGGAACGUAUCCUGGAGUGGGGGAUAACGUAGCGAAAGUUACGCUAAUACCGCAUAUUCUGUGAGCAGGAAAGCGGGGGACCUUCGGGCCUCGCGCUCUUGGAGCGGCCGAUGUCGGAUUAGCUAGUUGGUGAGGUAAAGGCUCACCAAGGCGACGAUCCGUAGCAGGUCUGAGAGGAUGAUCUGCCACACUGGAACUGAGACACGGUCCAGACUCCUACGGGAGGCAGCAGUGGGAAUUUUGGACAAGUGGGGCAACCCUGAUCCAGCCAUGCCGCGUGAGUGAAGAAGGCCUU
rnacentral:rRNA from 1 species